GACGAACGCUGGCGGCGUGCUUAACACAUGCAAGUCGAACGCUGAAGCCUGGUGCUUGCACCGGGUGGAUGAGUGGCGAACGGGUGAGUAAUACGUGAGUGACCUGCCUUUGACUCUGGGAUAAGCCUGGGAAACUGGGUCUAAUACCGGAUGCGACUACUGCCCGCAUGGGCUGGUGGUGGAAAGGGUUAUGUACUGGUCUUAGAUGGGCUCACGGCCUAUCAGCUGGUUGGUGGGGUAAUGGCCUACCAAGGCGACGACGGGUAGCCGGCCUGAGAGGGUGACCGGCCACACUGGGACUGAGACACGGCCCAGACUCCUACGGGAGGCAGCAGUGGGGAAUAUUGCACAAUGGGCGCAAGCCUGAUGCAGCGACGCCGCGUGAGGGAUGACGGCCUUCGGGUUGUAAACCUCUUUCAGCAGGGAAGAAGCGGAAGUGACGGUACCUGCAGAAGAAGCGCCGGCUAACUACGUGCCAGCAGCCGCGGUAAUACGUAGGGCGCAAGCGUUGUCCGGAAUUAUUGGGCGUAAAGAGCUCGUAGGCGGCUUGUCGCGUCUGCUGUGAAAGCCCGGGGCUUAACUCCGGGUGUGCAGUGGGUACGGGCAGGCUAGAGUGCAGUAGGGGUAACUGGAAUUCCUGGUGUAGCGGUGAAAUGCGCAGAUAUCAGGAGGAACACCGAUGGCGAAGGCAGGUUACUGGGCUGUUACUGACGCUGAGGAGCGAAAGCAUGGGGAGCGAACAGGAUUAGAUACCCUGGUAGUCCAUGC
rnacentral:rRNA from 1 species